UACAGAGGGGGCAAGCGUUGUUCGGAAUUACUGGGCGUAAAGGGCGCGUAGGCGGCCUUCUAAGUCGAACGUGAAAUCCCUGGGCUCAACCCAGGAACUGCGUCCGAUACUGGAAGGCUUGAAUCCGGGAGAGGGAUGCGGAAUUCCAGGUGUAGCGGUGAAAUGCGUAGAUAUCUGGAGGAACACCGGUGGCGAAGGCGGCUUGCUGGAUCGGUUCUGACGCUGAGGCGCGAAAGCCAGGGGAGCAAACGGG
rnacentral:rRNA from 1 species